UCAGAGCCUAGAAGAGCAACAACAGGGCUUCCUGGGUCUCUCUUCUGAAAGAAGAUAAGGAAUUUCAAGCUAGAACCUACCCAUUGCCCAGCCAGCACACCUCUUGUGAGCUUUUGAAUUUACUCACUGGAGCAGCCAUUUCAGACCUUCUAUUUUGCAUUACUGUAGCCCACCAGGCUCAUCUGUUCAUGGGAUUUUCCAAGCAAGAAUACUAGAGUGGGUUGCCGUUUCCUCCUCCAGGGGAUAUUUCCUACCCAGGGAUCGAACUGGGAUCGAACCCGCAUCUUCUGCUUUUGCAAGUGGAUUCUUUAUUGCUGAGCCACCAGGGAAGCCCCAACACUAAUUAAUGAGACACUAAAUACCAUUAAGAUUUCUAAGUCCCUUUCACCUUUGAGCCUAGCUCCGCCACAGGACAAAAGAAGAGGGAGGCUAGCACGAGCUGUGGGCAGGCUGUACAGUAUGAAGAACCAGACUUCCAGAAUCACGCAUCAUGUCCUGUCUUGUCUCCCUUCCUCCCGCCACAGGGCAGACCUGAACUUUCUUAGGGCUGGAUUGUGUUUUUAAACCUGUUCUUUGGAACCCCAGGGUCCCUCAUAAUUGCUUCAGGCUCUGAGAUGGGGUUUGCAAGGGAAGCCUGAGUUCUUGUAUGUUUGAUGAAAUAACUGGACUUUUUUCAUGCUUUAAAUAUGUGUGAGACACUCAUUUCUGAACCGUCUCUUUAUCUUCUUUCUGUGAUCAUCUACUUAGCAUCUUCCCCAGGCAGUGUUGGUUGCCAAGCACAACUAAGCACUGGGCCAGAAAGUUCCCAGUCAAGUGUGGUUACCUACAGGCAGAAAACAGAUCCCGUCUGUUACAGCAACCCAGAUAAGGAGCCGUGUCAGAGGCUUUGUUGUUUAUACAACCCUUAGAGUGUAUCUUCUUUUUAACUUAGUUUAUUAUUUAACUCCCUCCAAUAUAAAAUAUUGGGCCACAAACUGGUUUCUGUGUGCUAUAAACUCUUUGCUUUAAAUGUGUCAUUAAAAUUUUACCACCAAAUUAAGCUCCCUUGACUUUUCUUAAAUAGGUGUUUGUGACUUUGAAAAAUAUGAGUUGUCUGGGUUAGAGAAAAGAAAGUGGCAGUAGGCUCAAGUUAUUAAGCAGCAGAGGAAAUAUGACCCAAUUUGAUGUUUUUUUAAAGCAAGAGAGAUGAGUCUGUGAGUUUAAAGAUUUUGUAGAAUAAACAAGUUUUUGCAAAAUCUUCCUGUGGUUCUCUCACUCCAUCCCCACCCUGUCCUCCACACCCAGCCAGUAAUCUUUCCGCAG
ensembl:lncRNA